UACGAAGGGGGCUAGCGUUGCUCGGAAUCACUGGGCGUAAAGGGUGCGUAGGCGGGUUUUUAAGUCAGGGGUGAAAUCCUGGAGCUCAACUCCAGGACUGCCUUUGAUACUGAGGAUCUUGAGUUCGGGAGAGGUGAGUGGAACUGCGAGUGUAGAGGUGAAAUUCGUAGAUAUUCGCAAGAACACCAGUGGCGAAGGCGGCUCACUGGCCCGAUACUGACGCUGAGGCACGAAAGCGUGGGGAGCAAACAGG
rnacentral:rRNA from 1 species